rnacentral:rRNA from 1 species
UCCGUAGGCGGGCAAUUAAGUCAGAGGUGAAAUCCCACAGCUCAACUGUGGAACUGCCUUUGAUACUGGUUGUCUUGAGUUACAGUGAAGUAGAUAGAAUAUGUAGUGUAGCGGUGAAAUGCAUAGAUAUUACAUAGAAUACCGAUUGCGAAGGCAGUCCACUAACUGUAUACUGACGCUAAUGGACGAAAGCGUGGGGAGCGAACAGGAUUAGAUACCCUGGUAGUCC